UACUUAACACUUAAACCUUCUCUAAACCAACUACACCUAAAGAAAAUAUUCAUACACAAAAGUAUUCCACAAAACUACUUCAUACUAUAAACCGCAAGGGCCAAUCACCCAGUCAAUAAAAGAAAAGAUAACCCACCCUCCCUUUUGCAUCAUGGAGAAGCAACACUCAUACUAAUAACGCUUAAAUUCCCGAAAAAAUAUGAGCUACUAACCUUUAAAAUUAAUGUGUCACAAUUAAUUAUACUAGUCGUUAGUAGAAGUAACAAGCCUUUCACAUUUUUUGAUAGCUGGUUUUUCCUAAAAAGCAUUAAAGUGCUAGUUUAUGGGACUAACGACCUUAACAAUCCAUAAAUCAAAAGCUGCCGAGGAUAAGCUCGACAGUUACCUAAAAUACAUAGACUUCACAAGAUCAUUAGUAGGCCUAAAAACAGCCAACUCACUGCGUUUUAGUAACCAAACACCCACAAAACACAUAGAACAAAUAAAUUUCAAUAAAAAGGAAAUCUAAUGUAAAACAACCGACAACAUUAUCAAACAGGCAUUCUAUUAGUAUAACUAACUACAUUCAACACAUUAACUUAAAACCUAAAUGAACAAAACAACCAAUAAUAACAUAUAAUAUACGUAAUGAACUCGACAACACCGUUUUUCGCCUGUUUACCAAAAACAUCGUUUCCCGAAAACACCAAUAUGAGAAAUAAUGCCUGCCCAGUGAACCACAAAGAUUUUAACGGCCGCGUUAGCGUGAGCGUGCUAAGGUAGCGUAAUAAAUAGCCUUUUAAUUGAAGGCCAGUGAACGGCAACACGGAAAACUAUUGUAUCAUGUAUAUAAAUAAAACUUUAUUUUCGGGUGAAAAAGCCCGGAUAAUCGAGGAAGACAAAAAGACCCCGCGGAGCUUUACUUAAUCAAGCUAAACCAAUCCACUAGAUCAGUUAUGCUAAUAAGUUUGGUUGGGGCAACCCUGGAACCAUUAAAGCUUCCAGUACAAUUAAGAACACUAUCAAAAACAUCUCCGGACUAAAAAGAAGCUACCCCGGGGAUAACAGCGUAAUCCAACUCAAGAGUACGCAUCGAAAGUUGGGUUUGCGACCUCGAUGUUGGCUUAAGGUAAUUCACAUAAGCGCAGCCGCUAUGAGAGAAUAGUCUGUUCGACUACUAUACCCUUACAUGAGCUGAGUUAAGACCGGCGUAAGCUAGGUUGGUUUCUAUCUCCUCCACAUCACCAUACUCUCAGUUGUACGAAAGGACCCCGAGAUCUGCGAACUUCAGCAACCUUUAUGAAUUAAAUCACCCAUCAAUCUAAUUCCUUAGCUAAUCAUU
rnacentral:rRNA from 1 species